rnacentral:rRNA from 1 species
GACGAACGCUGGCGGCGUGCUUAACACAUGCAAGUCGAACGGAAAGGCCCUGCUUUUGUGGGGUGCUCGAGUGGCGAACGGGUGAGUAACACGUGAGUAACCUGCCCUUGACUUUGGGAUAACUUCAGGAAACUGGGGCUAAUACCGGAUAGGAGCUCCUGCUGCAUGGUGGGGGUUGGAAAGUUUCGGCGGUUGGGGAUGGACUCGCGGCUUAUCAGCUUGUUGGUGGGGUAGUGGCUUACCAAGGCUUUGACGGGUAGCCGGCCUGAGAGGGUGACCGGCCACAUUGGGACUGAGAUACGGCCCAGACUCCAACGGUAGGCAGCAGUGGGGAAUAUUGCACAAUGGGCGGAAGCCAGAUGCAGCAACGCCGCGUGCGGGAUGACGGCCUUCGGGUUGUAAACCGCUUUCGCCUGUGACGAGGCGUGAGUGACGGUAAUGAGUAAAGAAGCACCGGCUAACUACGUG